rnacentral:rRNA from 1 species
UCUGCCUUGGAGUGGGGAAUAACGGCUGGAAACAGCCGCUAAUACCGCAUGAUACAGCUGGGAGGCAUCUCCCUGGCUGUCAAAGAUUUAUCGCUCUGAGAUGAGCUCGCGUCUGAUUAGCUAGUUGGCGGGGUAACGGCCCACCAAGGCGACGAUCAGUAGCCGGACUGAGAGGUUGGCCGGCCACAUUGGGACUGAGACACGGCCCAGACUCCUACGGGAGGCAGCAG